rnacentral:rRNA from 1 species
AAUCUAGAGAAGUGUUACCCGCGUCGGACCGUGUACAAGUCUCCUGGAAUGGAGCGUCAUAGAGGGUGAGAAUCCCGUCUUUGACACGGACGCCCGAUGCUUUGUGGUGCGCUCUCAACGAGUCGAGUUGUUUGGGAAUGCAGCUCAAAAUGGGUGGUAAAUUCCAUCUAAAGCUAAAUAUUGGCGAGAGACCGAUAGCGAACAAGUACCGUGAGGGAAAGAUGAAAAGAACUUUGGAAAGAGAGUUAAACAGUACGUGAAAUUGCUGAAAGGGAAACGCUUGAAGUCAGUCGCGUUGGCCGGAAAUCAGCCUUCCUUUUGGUUGAUGUACUUUCUGGUUGACGGGCCAGCAUCAGUUUUGACCGGUGGAAAAAGUUGUAGGGAAUGUGGCAUCUUCGGGUGUGUUAUAGCCCUGCUUCGUAUACAUCGGUUGGGACUGAGGAACUCAGCACGCCGCAAGGCCGGGGUUCGCCCACGUUCGUGCUUAGGAUGCUGGCAUAAUGGCUUUAAUCGACCCGUCUUGAAACACGGACCAAGGAGUCUAACAUGCCUGCGAGUGUUUGGGUGGAAAACCCGAGCGCGUAAUGAAAGUGAAAGUCGAGAUCCUUGUCAUGGGGAGCAUCGACGCCCGGACCA